rnacentral:rRNA from 1 species
CCUACGGGUGGCAGCAGUGGGGAAUAUUGGACAAUGGGCGAAAGCCUGAUCCAGCCAUGCCGCGUGUGUGAAGAAGGCCUUCGGGUUGUAAAGCACUUUCAGUGGGGAAGAAAGCCUUGGGGCUAAUACCCUCGAGGAAGGACAUCACCAACAGAAGAAGCACCGGCUAACUCCGUGCCAGCAGCCGCGGUAAUACGGAGGGUGCGAGCGUUAAUCGGAAUUACUGGGCGUAAAGCGCGCGUAGGCGGUCUGAUAAGCCGGUUGUGAAAGCCCCGGGCUCAACCUGGGAACGGCAUCCGGAACUGUCAGGCUAGAGUGCAGGAGAGGAAGGUAGAAUUCCCGGUGUAGCAGUGAAAUGCGUAGAGAUCGGGAGGAAUACCAGUGGCGAAGGCGGCCUUCUGGACUGACACUGACGCUGAGGUGCGAAAGCGUGGGUAGCAAACAGGAUUAGAUACCCUAGUAGUC